CCUUCGGGUUGUAAAGCUCUGUCGAAUGGGACGAAAAAGUUUACGGUGAAUAGCCGUAGAUUCUGACGGUACCAUUAAAGGAAGCACCGGCUAACUCCGUGC
rnacentral:rRNA from 1 species